AGUGAACGCUGGCGGCAGGCCUAACACAUGCAAGUCGAACGGCAGCACAGUAAGAGCUUGCGCUUACGGGGGGGGAGUGGCGGACGGGACAGGUAAACAUCGGAAUCUACUUUUUCGUGGGGGAUAACGUAGGGAAACUUACGCCAAUACCGCAGACGAUCUACGGGGGAGAGCAGGGGAUCUUCGGACCUUGCGCGGGUGAAUGAGCCGAUGUCGGAUUAGUUGGUUGGGGGGGUAAAGGCCCACCAAGGGGAGGAUCGGCAGCCGGUCGGAGAGGACGGUCGGCCACACUGGAACUUAGACACCGUCCAGACUCCUACGGGAGGCAGCAGUGGGGAAUGUUGGACAAUGGGCGGAAGCCUGAUCCAGCCAUGCCGCGUGGGUGAAGAAGGCCUUCGGGUUGUAAAGCCCUUUUGUUGGGAAAGAAAAGCAGUAGGUUAAUACCCCGCUGUGCUGACGGUACCCGAAGAAUAAGCACCGGCUAACUACGUG
rnacentral:rRNA from 1 species